CCUGCCUACAGCCAGGGGGUCUGAGCUCCGUGGAGUAGGACUGGAGCUGUCACUACCCCUCUCUGGACCCAACUUCCCUCAUCUGCAAAACAGGAGGGCGUUUCUCUGUCUUACGUUGUGUCUGCUCAUGUCCUGUUUUUCUACCACAAUGGCCUCCUACCCCGUGUUCACCUGUGUAACAGGACAUGGCUGGAGAAACAUACCCCUUAGAGGCCUGCAUGCCGCCCAGCAAUCCUUCAUUCCCCUGGCCAUUUAUUUUCUCAUUCUGCUAUGAAGGACUUCAUACUUUGCCCUCUCUCCUCAAACUUCCAUCGUCUCCUUAGUCUCCAUUCUCCGCUGAGGACUCUGCUUCUUAGUGAACUGAGAAAAGAGGCAGGUGCACACCUACCACCUCCUUAGAUGCUCCUACUUAGGAUCCCUUCCCCAGCUCAUGCCUGGAUUCUACCUCUCCCACCUCCUCGAGACCACCAUUUCAGAAC
rnacentral:lncRNA from 1 species